rnacentral:rRNA from 1 species
UGACGAGUGGCGGACGGGUGAGUAAUGCUUGGGGAUCUGCCUUAUGAGGGGGAUAACUACGGGAAACUGUAGCUAAUACCGCAUACAAUCUACGGAUAAAAGUGGGGGACCGCAAGGCCUCACGCCAUAAGAUGAACCCCAAGUGAGAUUAGGUAGUAGGUGAGGUAAUGGCUCACCUAGCCGACGAUCUCUAGCUGGUCUGAGAGGAUGACCAGCCACACUGGGACUGAGACACGGCCCAG